rnacentral:rRNA from 1 species
GACGAACGCUGGCGGCGUGCUUAACACAUGCCAGUCGAACGGAAAGGCCCUGCUUUUGUGGGGUGCUCGAGUGGCGAACGGGUGAGUAACACGUGAGUAACCUGCCCUUGACUUUGGGAUAACUUCAGGAAACUGGGGCUAAUACCGGAUAGGAGCUCCUGCUGCAUGGUGGGGGUUGGAAAGUUUCGGCGGUUGGGGAUGGACUCGCGGCUUAUCAGCUUGUUGGUGGGGUAGUGGCUUACCAAGGCUUUGACGGGUAGCCGGCCUGAGAGGGUGACCGGCCACAUUGGGACUGAGAUACGGCGCAGACUGCUACGGGAGGCAGCAGUGGGGAAUAUUGCACAAUGGGCGGAAGCCUGAUGCAGAAACGCCGCGUGCGGGAUGACGGCCUUCGGGUUGUAAACCGCUUUCGCCUGUGACGAAGCGUGAGUGACGGUAAUGGGUAAAGAAGCACCGGCUAACUACGUG